rnacentral:sRNA from 1 species
GUCACUUCUCAGCCUUUUGGCUAAGAUCAAGUAUAAAAAUAGUAUAUAAUUAUUUUCAUGAUUUUGAUAAUCGUUUUGUGGCUAAGAGACUAUCCAUGUUCUUUAAACAUGUGCACUGACACAUUUAGGAGUAAAAUGGAA